CUAAAAUAAUUGGGAACGUAGGCC
rnacentral:siRNA from 1 species